rnacentral:rRNA from 1 species
GUGUCAGCCGCCGCGGUAACACCGGCAGCUCGAGUGGUAGCCGCGUUUAUUGGGCCUAAAGCGUCCGUAGCCGGUCCGAUAAGUCUCUGGUGAAAGCCCACAGCUCAACUGUGGGAAUCGCUGGAGAUACUAUCGGACUCGAGGUCGGGAGAGGCUGGAGGUACUCCCAGGGUAGGGGUGAAAUCCUGUAAUCCUGGGAGGACCACCUGUGGCGAAGGCGUCCAGCUGGAACGAACCUGACGGUGAGGGACGAAAGCCAGGGGCGCGAACCGGAUUAGAUACCCGGGUAGUCCUGGCCGUAAACGAUGUGGACUUGGUGUUAGGAUGGCUUCGAGCGGCCCCAGUGCCGAAGGGAAGCUGUUAAGUCCACCGCCUGGGAAGUACGGCCGCAAGGCUGAAACUUAAAGAAAUUGACGG